UACAGAGGGGGCAAGCGUUGUUCGGAAUUACUGGGCGUAAAGGGCGCGUAGGCGGCCUGCUAAGUCGAACGUGAAAUCCCUGGGCUCAACCCAGGAACUGCGUCCGAUACUGGUUGGCUUGAAUCCGGGAGAGGGAUGCGGAAUUCCAGGUGUAGCGGUGAAAUGCGUAGAUAUCUGGAGGAACACCGGUGGCGAAGGCGGCAUCCUGGACCGGUAUUGACGCUGAGGCGCGAAAGCGUGGGGAGCAAACAGG
rnacentral:rRNA from 1 species